rnacentral:rRNA from 1 species
AACGAACGCUGGCGGCGUGCCUAACACAUGCAAGUCGAGCGAGAAAGGGGGAGCAAUCCCCUGAGUACAGCGGCGCACGGGUGAGUAACACGUAGGUGAUCUCCCCUCGAGCCCGGAAUAACCUACCGAAAGGUGGGCUAAUACCGGAUAUGACCACGGGAGUUUCGGCUCCUGUGGUGAAAGAUGGCCUCUACCUGUAAGCUAUCACUCAAGGAUGAGCCUGCGNGCCAUUAGCUAGUUGGUGAGGUAAUGGCUCACCAAGGCUAUGAUGGCUAGCUGGUCUGAGAGGAUGGCCAGCCACACU